rnacentral:rRNA from 1 species
AGAGUUUGAUCCUGGCUCAGAACGAACGCUGGCGGCAGGCUUAACACAUGCAAGUCGAACGAUAUAGUGGCAGACGGGUGAGUAACGCGUGGGAACGUGCCUUUCACUAAGGAAUAGCUUUUGGAAACGAAAGGUAAUACCUUAUACGCCCUUCGGGGGAAAGAUUUAUCGGUGAAAGAUCGGCCCGCGUUAGAUUAGCUAGUUGGUGAGGUAAUGGCUCACCAAGGCUACGAUCUAUAGCUGGUCUGAGAGGACGACCAGCCACACUGGGACUGAGACACGGCCCAGACUCCUACGGGAGGCAGCAGUGGGGAAUAUUGCACAAUGGGCGCAAGCCUGAUGCAGCCAUGCCGCGUGAAUGAUGAAGGCCUUAGGGUUGUAGAAUUCUUUCGCUAGGGAUGAUAAUGACAGUACCUAGUAAAGAAGCCCCGGCUAACUUCGUGCCAGCAGCCGCGGUAAUA